rnacentral:rRNA from 1 species
UACAGGGGGUGCAAACGUUUGCUCGGAAUUAUUGGGCGUAAAGCGCGCGUAGGCGGCCACUUAAGUCGGAUGUGAAAGCCCCUGGCUCAACUGGGGAAGUGCACCCGAAACUGAAUGGCUUGAGUGCGAAAGAGGGUCGCGGAAUUCCCGGUGUAGAGGUGAAAUUCGUAGAUAUCGGGAGGAACACCGGUGGCGAAGGCGGCGACCUGGGUCGACACUGACGCUGAGGCGCGAAAGCGUGGGGAGCAAACAGG